rnacentral:lncRNA from 1 species
GGUUGUAGAUGAUUAUGCUCCAUACAUGUAUAUGAAUUAUAAAAUAAUAAAUGUUAUCUAGUAAGAUUCAUCAUAAGGAAUACAUCUUUCAAAAUAGAACUCAUAUGUUAUGAUGAAGUCUUUAGAACUACUACCAAAAUGAUAAAGGAGGAUUUAUCAUGUGGUUCUUAAAUCCUGCUCAUGACCAAAUGAUACAAUUGUUACAAGGAUGAUAAUUGUAUCAAGUGUAGGUUGUUAUAUGCCAUCUUAGUUGGUUGUUCUCUUAAUCAAGAUGUGUGGUGACAUGGGUAUGGCAUACGGAUGAUAUGUAGGAGUAUAUUUCACUGAGCAUGACCACUUU